GCGCGGGCACGCAGGCUUUCGUUCCACGCCAUUUUGGGGUACCUACUGUGUGCCGAGCCCUCAGUGAUUUUAUGCUUAGGAAUGUCCAGCAGACCGCGUUCAACAAAUCUUUGAAAUGAGGACGAGUCUUGCCUAGCUGGGGUCCUGCCGACUUUCAGUCCAGUGCUUAUCCCGUUCCACUAGGAAUUGCUGGAGCUGUAUAGCCCUGCCUGUCUUCACUGCAGUGUCCCAGCUCCUGUAUGGCAGCACGUGCCACACACAGUUUCAGUGACCCUGUCGACCACCAUAGGGAAGUAGAUGCUCCUCCUUCUGACGAAUCAUCAGACGGUCAGUAGCAGCUGCGUGUCACAUGAUGUCACAACACCUACGUCAUCCACCUCACUUGUCUCACCACGUGGGCAUCUUAUCAUCUUGUAUCGUCUGAGAAGGAUUUUAUGUAUGUAUGUAUGUGCAGAAGAAUGAAACUGGACCAUUUCCUUACACCACACACAAAGUAGACUCCAAAUGGUUGAAAGACCUCAAUGUGAGACAGGAGUCCAUCAAAAUCCUAAAGGACAACACAGGCAGCAACCUCUUUGACCUCAGCCGAAGCAACUUCUUCCUAGAAACAUCGCCAAAGGCAAGGGAAGCAAGGGCAAGAAUGAACUAUUGGGACUUCAUCAAGAUAAAAAGCUUUUGCAAAGCAAAGGAAACAGUCAACAAAACCAAGAGACAACUGACAGAAUGGGAGAAGAUAUUUGCAAAUGACAUAUCAGAUAAAGGGCUAGUAUCCAAAAUCUAUAAAGAACUCAUCAAACUCAACACCCAAAGAACAAAGAAUCCAAUCAAGAAAUGGGCAGAAGACAUGAACAGACAUUUUUUCCAAAGAAGACAUCCAAAUGGCCAACAGACACAUGAAAAAGUGCUCAAUAUCGCUCGGCAUCAGGGAAAUCCAAAUCAAAACCUCAAUGAGAUACCACCUCACACCAGUCAGAAUGGCUAAAAUUAAUAAGUCAGGAAACGACAGAUGUUGACGGGGAUGCGGAGAAAGGGGAACCCUCCUACACUGUUGGUGGGAAUGCAAGCUGGUGCAGCCACUCUGGAAAACUGUAUGGAGGUUCCUCAAAAAGUUGAAAAUAGAGCUACCAUAUGAUCCAGCAAUUGCACUACUGGGUAUUUACCCCAAAGAUACAAAAGUAGGGAUCCGAAAGGGUACGUGCACCCCAAUGUUUAUAGCAGCAAUGUCCACAAUAGCCAAACUGUGGAAAGAGCCAAGAUGUCCAUCGACAGAUGAAUGGAUAAAGAAGAGGUGGUAUAUAUACACAAUGGAAUAUUAUGCAGCCAUCAAAAGGAAUGAGGUCUUGCCAUUUGCAACGACGUGGAUGGAACUGGAGGGUAUUAUGUUGAGCGAAAUAAGUCAAAAAGAGAAAGACAUGUAUCAUAUGACCUCACUGAUAUGAGGAAUUCUUAAUCGCAGGAAAC